rnacentral:rRNA from 1 species
CCCUUAGAUGUUCUGGGCCGCACGCGCGCUACACUGACGAAGUCAGCGAGCAUGUCCUACGCCGACAGGUGCGGGGAAUCUUGUCAAACUUCGUCGUGAUGGGGAUUGAUUUUUGAAAUUCUUGAUCAUAAACGAGGAAUUCCUAGUAAGCGCAAGUCAGCAGCUUGCGUUGAUUACGUCCCUGCCCUUUGUACACACCGCCCGUCGCUACUACCGAUUGAAUGGUUUAGUGAGAUCUUCGGAUUGGUCCCGGAGCGGCCUCUGGUCGUGCCGGAGUGCCGAAAAGAAUGUCGAACUUGAUCAUCUAGAGGAAGUAAAAGUCGUAACA